rnacentral:tRNA from 1 species
UGGCGUAGUGGUCAGUGCACUCGCCUUGCACGCGGGAGACCCGGGUUCGAUUCCCAG